UACAGAGGGUGCAAGCGUUAAUCGGAAUUACUGGGCGUAAAGCGUGCGUAGACGGUUACGUAAGUCGGGUGUGAAAGCCCCGGGCUCAACCUGGGAAUUGCAUUCGAGACUGCGUAGCUAGGGUGCGGAAGAGGGAAGCGGAAUUUCCGGUGUAGCGGUGAAAUGCGUAGAUAUCAGGAGGAACACCAAUUGCGAAGGCAGCUCGCUGGGACGUAACUGACGCUGAGACGCGAAAGCCGUGGGGAGCAAACAGG
rnacentral:rRNA from 1 species